AUGUUCAAGUCUGGAUCCAACCAGACUCUGCACAACCGGAGUGAGAGAGAGAGAGAGAGAGAGAGAAUGAGAGAGAGAGAGAGAGANNNNNNNNNNACAGACGGAGUGAGAGAGAGAGAGAGAGAGAGAGAGAGAGAGAGAGAGAGAGAGAGAGAGAGAGAGGCAGGGGAAACGAGGCAGGCUGUCCAUCAACUUCCAAAGCAUCUCCAAACACCGAGAAUAAAACUCCUAAAACAGGACCUCCUCGUUCUAUACAUACACUCAGUUCUACUCGGGAGAAAGGAGUCCCCCUCCCCGGCCCAAUUCACCCUCAUUGCUCCACAUCCCUUACAGAUUUACUUGGAACUGAACGCCCACGGAUUUCAGGAGAAACUCUUUUCCAAGGAAAACGGAGAGGUAUCUAACUCUAAUAACCUGAUCGCUAAAAACUUCCAGUUCAUCCGCUCGCCCCCUCCUGCGCUCAUUCACACGAUUCGGUCCAUUUCUGCAACUCGCCCCUGCUUUUUAAAAGAAGGGAGGGAAUAAUUUGAGAUUAGGCUAGUUCCUCACAAUUGUGUACCUCCUGAGGUCCAUUCUAGAGGAAGGAGUUUUGAACCUAUAUAUGAUGAUUUUGUGUUUCAAGCACUGCCACCAACCACAGAACGAUGUUAUGAAACCAACCCUCUACUUGGUUUCUGCUGCUUCAAAUGGUAAAGCACUUAAAAUAGUUUUAUAACAGUUUUUAACUGCCAUAGCUCCAACCUAGAGAAUCCUGGGAUUUGUUGUUUAGUGAAGUAUUUAGGGGUGCAAUUCUGUGCAGUGCAUAAGGUCUUUCCAGCAGAAAAUACUAAGUCUGUUCCCAUAGUGUAAAUCUCAGGAUCCCCUAGGAAGGAGUCAUGCAAAACUCAUAUCAAGCUCCUGUGACUUUGUGAUGUAAAUGCAAAGAAUUGGUUUAGGUCUUCCAUAGGAAUGUAGCAGAAAUUCCCAGUCCCAGCUACUAUUUUCCUUACAUUCUUGUUCCCACACUACUUUGUACAGAGAAAUGUCAGUCUUCUCACAAAAUAUUUUUUUUCCUAUUUCUUGACUCUACUUCCUCGUUGUUUCCUAUGUCAAGGAAGUGUGACGGAUGUCUUCUCAGAAGAAGGAGGAGG
rnacentral:lncRNA from 1 species